rnacentral:rRNA from 1 species
GUGGGUAGUUUGACUGGGGCGGUCUCCUCCUAAAGAGUAACGGAGGAGCACGAAGGUUGGCUAAUCCUGGUCGGACAUCAGGAGGUUAGUGCAAUGGCAUAAGCCAGCUUGACUGCGAGCGUGACGGCGCGAGCAGGUGCGAAAGCAGGUCAUAGUGAUCCGGUGGUUCUGAAUGGAAGGGCCAUCGCUCAACGGAUAAAAGGUACUCCGGGGAUAACAGGCUGAUACCGCCCAAGAGUUCAUAUCGACGGCGGUGUUUGGCACCUCGAUGUCGGCUCAUCACAUCCUGGGGCUGAAGUAGGUCCCAAGGGUAUGGCUGUUCGCCAUUUAAAGUGGUACGCGAGCUGGGUUUAGAACGUCGUGAGACAGUUCGGUCCCUAUCUGCCGUGGGCGCUGGAGAACUG